rnacentral:sRNA from 1 species
CAGCAGUGGUCCUCCUACGGGAGGCAGCAGUGGGACAGUUGGCUCAGAACGAACGCUGGCGGCUGGCUCACAACGAACGCUGGCGGCUGGCUCAGAACGAACGCUGGCGGCUGGCUCAGAACGAACGCUGGCGGCAGGCCUAACACAUGCAAGUCGAACGGUAACAGGAAGAAGCUUGCUUCUUUGCUGACGAGUGGCGGACGGGUGAGUAAUGUCUGGGAAACUGCCUGAUGGAGGGGGAUAACUACUGGAAACGGUAGCUAAUACCGCAUAACGUCGCAAGACCAAAGAGGGGGACCUUCGGGCCUCUUGCCAUCGGAUGUGCCCAGAUGGGAUUAGCUAGUAGGUGGGGUAACGGCUCACCUAGGCGACGAUCCCUAGCUGGUCUGAGAGGAUGACCAGCCACACUGGAACUGAGACACGGUCCAGACUCCUACGGGAGGCAGCAGUGGG